UACGUAGGGUGCAAGCGUUGUCCGGAUUCAUUGGGCGUAAAGAGCUCGUAGGCGGCCACUCAAGUCGAAUGUGAAACCUCGAGGCUCAACCUCGAGCCUGCAUUCGAUACUGGGCGGCUAGAGUCUGGUAGGGGGAUCUGGAAUUCCUGGUGUAGCGGUGGAAUGCGCAGAUAUCAGGAGGAACACCGGUGGCGAAGGCGGCUUCCUGGACAGAAACUGACGCUGAGGCGCGAAAGCUAGGGGAGCAAACAGG
rnacentral:rRNA from 1 species